rnacentral:tRNA from 1 species
CAGUGCAUGGCCAAAUGAGAAAAGCAUCUCCCUUACACCGAGAAGUUGUCCGUGCAAGUCGGACUGCUCUGC